UACAGAGGGUGCAAGCGUUUAAUCGGAAUUACUGGGCGUAAAGCGAGCGUAGUCGGUUAUUUAAGUCGGGUGUGAAAGCCCCGGGCUCAACCUGGGAAUUGCAUUCGAUACUGGAUAGCUAGAGUUCGGCAGAGGGAAGCGGAAUUUCCGGUGUAGCGGUGAAAUGCGUAGAUAUCGGGAGGAACACCGGUGGCGAAGGCGGGUCUCUGGGCCGAUACUGACGCUGAGGAGCGAAAGCGUGGGGAGCGAACAGG
rnacentral:rRNA from 1 species